UCAAAACAAUUCAGGUCUUUCUUGGGAGGC
rnacentral:piRNA from 1 species